rnacentral:rRNA from 13 species
GCUUACGGCCACACGGCCUGAGUACGCCUGAUCUCGGAAGCUAAGCAGGGUCGUGCCUGGUUAGUACUUGGAUGGGAGACCGCCUGGGAAUACCAGGUGCUGUAAGCU